AGAGUUUGAUCCUGGCUCAGGAUGAACGCUGACAGAAUGCUUAACACAUGCAAGUCUACUUGAACUUCGGUUUGGGUGGCGGACGGGUGAGUAACGCGUAAAGAACUUGCCUCACAGAUAGGGACAACAUUUGGAAACGAAUGCUAAUACCUGAUAUUAUGAUUUUAGGGCAUCCUAAGAUUAUGAAAGCUAUAUGCGCUGUGAGAGAGCUUUGCGUCCCAUUAGCUAGUUGGAGAGGUAACGGCUCACCAAGGCGAUGAUGGGUAGCCGGCCUGAGAGGGUGAACGGCCACAAGGGGACUGAGACACGGCCCUUACUCCUACGGGAGGCAGCAGUGGGGAAUAUUGGACAAUGGACCAAAAGUCUGAUCCAGCAAUUCUGUGUGCACGAUGACGUUUUUCGGAAUGUAAAGUGCUUUCAGUUGGGAAGAAAAAAAUGACGGUACCAACAGAAGAAGUGACGGCUAAAUACGUGCCAGCAGCCGCGGUAAUACGUAUGUCACAAGCGUUAUCCGGAUUUAUUGGGCGUAAAGCGCGUCUAGGUGGUUAUGUAAGUCUGAUGUGAAAAUGCAGGGCUCAACUCUGUAUUGCGUUGGAAACUGCAUGACUAGAGUACUGGAGAGGUAAGCGGAACUACAAGUGUAGAGGUGAAAUUCGUAGAUAUUUGUAGGAAUGCCGAUGGGGAAGCCAGCUUACUGGACAGAUACUGACGCUAAAGCGCGAAAGCGUGGGUAGCAAACAGGAUUAGAUACCCUGGUAGUCCACGCCGUAAAC
rnacentral:rRNA from 1 species